UCACCUCCUUUUUAGGGAGACCUACACCCCUUAGAAAUCGAAAAGCAUACAGCUAUAUAGAUACUAAGUUGGUCUAACCUAGGUCGGUCGAGAAUUGGUAUAUAGCUUUCAAAGUAUUAAUGGUUCAGGAAUGUAAAACAAAAAAUAUAUUGAGAGUUCAGCAACAUGACUUAACUGAAGUCAGACUGCUGAGAUAAUCUCAGCCAGAACCUUGAAAACUGCAUAGAAACGCGAAAAUAGCAGGCAGACACAGACAUUCUUAGUACUGAGUGCGACGUCUUGGAGUGCUGAGUAAAAUCAGUGUGAAGUGGCGAAGAAAUCAGAACUAACUAUUUGUAAUUGUGUAUGCAAAAGUUAAAAGACCAAAUGAAAUGAGUGGUCGAGCGAAUAAGGGCUAACGGUGGAUACCUAGGCACACAGAG
rnacentral:misc_RNA from 1 species